rnacentral:rRNA from 1 species
UACGAGAGGCCCAAACGUUAUUCGGAUUUACUGGGCUUAAAGAGUUCGUAGGCGGCGCGGAAAGUAGGGUGUGAAAGCCCUCGGCUCAACCGGGGAAUUGCGCCCUAAACUGCCGUGCUAGAGGAACCUAGAGGUGAGCAGAACUGAUGGUGGAGCGGUGAAAUGCGUUGAUAUCAUCAGGAAUACCGGAGGCGAAGGCGGCUCACUGGGGGUUUUCUGACGCUGAGGAACGAAAGCCAGGGGAGCGAACGGG